UGGUUUGAUGAGCAGUGCCAUGUCCGCGCCCAAGAUUCGAACCAACGAAACACUGGGCCGCCUGCAGCGGAGCGCGCGAACUUAACCACUCAGCCACCGGGCCAGCCCCCCUUGUCUGGAAUAUUUAAAUAGCAUUUGAACGACCUGCUAUGUAAAGCUCUGUCCACGGAGAGGGCCUGAGAGCGGCGACACCCCAGGAGCGGUGAGCACCAGGGCAUCCAGAUCUUGGUUUUUAACACCACCCUUCACUAAAAGGAACCAGGGCGCUUUGAGAAAAUGGCGGAUUCCAGGGUCAGGGCAGGGAAAGUACAAGACGAGCCUGGAACAGUUUUCAUUGUUGUUUUACCAGAAAGUAAGAAAGUGCUUAAAGAGUGAGGGAGACAUGUCAAAGGAACAUCGAAGCCAACUUCCGGGAGCUCCCACUGGUAAAACUCAGGACAAUUUGAGGUGGGAGCUUCUCUCCCCAUCCCGAGGACACAGGGCUCAGCAAGGUCAGGGAAUGUGGCCAGGAUCGUGCAGAGGGUGACCCGGGGAGAUCCAGCCCAGGGACAAGGAGGGAGAGAACGUGAAUGUUUGUCAUGCUGCCACACCCACCUCCUCUGGGGAACAGCCCCUCCCUGCCCACGACAUGGAAGGCGCCGCAGAGCCAGCCCCUUCCGCUCCCCCUAGUCUGCACCUGGGCAGAACCCUUCUUGAGGACACCAAGGGACACAGACAGGACCAGCUGGGGAAGGUGGGGCAGGGAGCCUAGGUCCCGGUCACUCAUGGGCUCAGUGCUGGGGGGCACCAAGGACAGCACCUCUGGGGCAGAUGGGUGAGAAUUCAGCCCACCAGCCAUGCUCCCAGGGCCCGUGUCCGGCAGCCCAGAGGGGCACCUUUUUCCAAGUGCACUAGAGUGCCAGGGCCCCGCCUGGGCCUCCAGGGUACAAACUUGGGAGAAAGCGCAGGAGAGAAGCCAGGGCCGCUGCUGGGGCUGGGAGGGGGCGGGUUCCCCAUCCUGCGGGCUUCACAGACCUCACCACACCGUGGGGGAGCACAGAAAGGGGCCAUCCGUUGACAGGUGGAGCCACAGGCUGGGUAUGGCCCCUGGGGCUUGAAGGGGUCUGGAGGACAGGGGCAGGGCGUGGGCACAGCCCGGAGGGAGCCGGACCACCUGAGUGAGGAGGGGACCCUUGCCCCUGCUCAGCGCUCAGGCCACAACCCGCUUCGGACAGUCUGGCCUUUGCACUGAGGAUCCCAUCACCACGCCCAGCAGGGGCCUUUCUGAGAAGGGGCCCCCUGGGCUGAGCUGGGUGGGAACGCAGCAGCAGAGAGCGAAAGGGUCCUGGGCGGUCCCGGGUGCCUUAGCGAGGGCGCCUUGUGGGCUGGCGACAGAGAAGGCCGUGAACCGGCUUCUGGAAAUUACAGCUGGGCUCUCUGCAGCCCUUUUGAGGACCCAGGAGCCACGUGGAGUGGCAUGGGGCGGACUCCCUCCCAUUCCUUUCACACCUAGCGGUCCUUGUUCAGUGGCUCCCACCCAUCAGACCCCCAUGGGCCCAGGCAGCCUGCCUGGCUCUGCCCCUUAUCCUCAGGCCUGCCGCUGGGCAACACUCAGUAUUUGCUGAAGUAAUGGAGGGAUGUUCUCAACCAUGCUUCGCACCAGCCCUGGAGGUCUGAGAUCACGGCCCCCACGUUGCAGACCAGGACACUGAGACUCAGGGUCAGACAGCUAAGUAAACGGAAGGGCAGCCCCGUGAGCGCCCCAGCUGGCUCGCCCCCAGGCCCUGGCUGAGAGCUCACUGGCCCUCGCACCAGCCUGCAUGGAGGCAUCGCUGCCCCCAGUGCCCGCAGGCCGGGGGGCGGGGCGGGGGGUGGUGGGAAUGAGGGGCGGAGUGUUCCCUGUGGGCCCCACUGCUGAGCCUCUCCCUGGGUGCUGCCUGCCCUGGGGGCUCAGGCCUCAAAGGAUUUGGUGAUCCCCAGCCCCUCCUACUACCCCUGGGGGCUGAGCGGACUCCUUGGUGCCUCCCAGCCUUGGCCAGGAGGGCAGGCACAGCCUGGGAGGAGGGUAGUGUGUCGCAGGGCAGGGAAGGGCAAGCACCUGGCAAGGGACCAGCAGCCACAGGAAGGGGAGGGGAAGCAGGCAGAAGGUGCCACCCAGGGAGGCUUCCUGGAGGAGGCCCCCAAGUGUCUCCAGAAGCCUCUCCUAGUCUCUGGCUCACCACUUACUGUCCACCCCGUCACUAGGGUCAGAGAGCCUGGACCAAACUGGUCAUCCCACCCUGGCCACCACUGCUCCAAACAAGGCCUUGGUCUUUUCUGGCUCUGACAGCAGUGACAGUCUCCUAACGGGCCAUUGUCUGCAGGGAGUAAGGCAUGAGCUGUGACAGGAGCUGGGUGCUACCACGGCAGGGCCACUGGUCCGCCUGCCCCAACACCGGGUGGGCCUCGAGGCUUUCAGGAGAGAUGGAGAGCGAGGCCCCGAACCCUAGGCUCGGCCUACACAGUCAGGCCACCGUCCCCGAGCCCUGAGGAGGCAGCCCAAGCGAAGACACAUCAGAAUCUGACCUCAAAACACAGGGAGACGAGCUCAAGGAGAGUGGGGGGACUGUGCUUGGUGGGUGUGCCAGACAAAAACUGUCAUCAAAAGCCAUGGGUUAAAACUGUCUUUUGGCCCUUGCUUACAUUUUCCCACCCUGAGUUUACUUUUUAAAAUUCCCCCUUUUCUUGUAUUUUUUUUGUUUCAUUAAAAAAAACCCUUGAACCAUC